CAGCAGCCGCGGUAAUACGAAGGGGGCUAGCGUUGCUCGGAAUGACUGGGCGUAAAGGGCGCGUAGGCGGCGGCCAAAGUCAGGCGUGAAAUUCCCGGGCUCAACCUGGGGGCUGCGUUUGAUACUUGGUUGCUUGAGUGGGGAAGAGGGUCGUGGAAUUCCCAGUGUAGAGGUGAAAUUCGUAGAUAUUGGGAAGAACACCGGUGGCGAAGGCGGCGACCUGGUUCAUGAUUGACGCUGAGGCGCGAAAGCGUGGGGAGCAAACAGGAUUAGAUACCCCCGUAGUCCCUGUCUCUUAUAC
rnacentral:rRNA from 1 species